ensembl:lncRNA
AGAAAGGUUGCAGUUCUGCUAACACCAAGCAUGCUGGAUGCUCUGUCACUACUGUGUGGAGCAAAGAACCCUGAUCAUCUCGGAUCGACACCGCUCAGGAAACACGUUGCCACAAUCUCACAAGUUUUUAAUGAACUUGAUCAGGUUGCAGAUUUCCUGAGUCAUGAUAUCCGUGUUCACCGCGAAUUCUUACCAGUUCCAUCAACACAGCUGGCCAACAUUUCCAAACAUGGAGAAAAGACUUUCCAUGAUCCAGAUGAAAUUACAUUAAGUGAUGACAAAACCAAGAAGAGUGGGAGUGAAUCCAAUGAUGAUGGUACAGAACUCGCAAUGUCGGCAUUUGGUACCAGUGAGCCUGUGCAUGCAGUUGCUGAGUCCACAAACGCAGAGCAGGUCCAAGACACUGGAGAUUGUGGUAAGUUAUGACUAUUUUGGUUUCUGUGGAUAAAAUGUGUUUGUUGCUAAUAUUAAAACUUAAUCAAAAUGUGUAACCAGCAAAUGAUCUCCACUAUGGAUGCCUACAGCAAGUGAAACUGUCGCUCCCUCUGAAGGUAAGGGAAGUUUAAGUCUACGUACUCUUAUGUGUUUUAAAAUAUGAAUGUAAAAUAGAAUAAGACAGAAUCAAUAAAAUGAAGUACAGUUGGUUCCCUAAGCUGAUGGACAUGUUCUUUGUAAUUUUAUUGUAUUUCUGUCUCUGUACACCACCUACACCACCACAAUGGAUUUUAAAACAAUCCAUAUGUGAUUAAAAGUGUAGACUUUCAGCUUUAAUUUAACAGAAUCACCACAUUGCAGCCAUUUUAUGUAGUCCAUUAUUUUCAGAAGCUCAAGGGUAAGGACAGCGGACAAAUAUUUUUAUGGCAGGGUGAGGCCUGUCCCCCGACUAUUUCAAGACAUACUAUGGUGCUCACAUGAUGCAUGCUCAAUCAUUAAGGUAAGUAAAUCCCAAAAGGUUGAUUCUGUUCAUCUGGACAUAUUGUUUUCAGUGGGAGAAACAUUUCGGCACGAAAAGCUACGUCCAGAUGAACAGAAUCAUCCUUUUGGGAUGAACUUACCUUAAUGAUUGAGCAUGCAUCACAACACUUUUAUUCACACUAGAACACUGAAAAUGUAUCAAAUGUCUAAAAUGAGACAAUGCAAUAUUUAAAGAGAACUUUAGCUCAUUUUGAUAUUGAUGGUAGCAACACAUCUCAGAAGUUGAGAGAGGGUAGCAUCCCUUCUUUUAACAACAAACAAUUUUUUUUAACUGAGGAGAUCAGUUGCUGGAUUUUCCAACAAUUUUCUACUUUAUAUAUCUUCCAGAUAAAAAUUCUGCUCAAGACCAUGAUUGAAGAAGAGCUCCCAAAAAAAGGUGGUCCAAGGCUGAGGUUGCUGCAGUGAUGAAGCAUUUUAAUGACCACAUAAACAAAGGGAAACUGGCCACCAGAAAUGAAUGCAGUCAUUGGAAAUUGGUAGAGGAUCCAGUGUUGGCAGGAAGAACAGUUCAGAACAUACGAGAUGUUAUAAGAAACAGAGGUUUAUCAGCAAAAAAGCAUAAAGAAGAGUGUUAUAUCCACUAGGAUAACUGUUUAUGCAGAUGUGGUUCUGCAUCUUAGUCAGAUUGCUGAGUUGUUGCUCAAAUUGACUUAAUUGUGCAGCAGGCUGCUUUAUUGAUGUUCUCUUUAAAGAAAUAAAAUGAAAAAAGCUCUUGUGAAACUACAGAACAAAAUUUAUAUUUAAUGUAAUUUUUUUAGAUGUAUAUUUUAUAAUUACUUCUUUUUUUUUUUUUACAUCUGUGGUAAUUAACUGUUAAUUACCUUUUUUUUAUUUUAUUCAACUUCAUUUUUGAAAUCAUCAACACUUUUGCAUUAAAGUGUUGUAAUAUUUCCACUAAUGCACCAAAUGCAUCAGUGGAAAUGGAGAAAAGCUCUGUUUUAUCACUUUGAAUAUUUGUUAUCAUAUUUGUUUGAUUUUAAGACCUUUGAACCUCUCUUAGCUGUGAUGUAGAGGCGGCCAGGGGGUGGGACUUUAACCCCAGGGACUUGGAAUUGGAAACUGUGUUUUGUGUAUGGUUAUUCUGGAAAAUGAGUUUGUGCAGAUUACAGAGGGACUUUAUAAGCACCAUGUCUCAAGGACCACACAAGCACCACAAAGCACCAAAGGAACUGCACAUCACGAGUACCUGUGACCUCUAUAUCUGAGAGUGAUGAGUUUCUGAAUUUCUUUGUGGAUGAAGUUGAUCAUGUCCGUAUGAGCAUUGGUUCUUCAAUACCAUCUGUUUGUGUCUCUGGGCCACCUCCCCCUCAUUUACUGUCAGUGUUUAACCCAAUGAACAUACAUGACCUUUCACUCCUGCUGGAUAAAGUGAAAAUUACCACUUUCCAACCUGCUGGGCUGUUUAAACAUGCUCUCUCUGCCAUUGGCCCCUCUAUUGUAGAGAUAUGCAAUGCCUCUCUUUUAACAGGGGUGGUCCCUAGGUUCUGUAAGCAUGCUGUUGUUGAGCUGAUAUUAAAAAAGAGCAGUUUGGAUCCAACUCAGCUUAAGAAUUAUAGGCCUAUCUCUAAGCUUCCAUUAUUGUCGAAGAUUCUGGAAAACGUAGUUGCAGAUCAAC